GGAUGCCUACGGGACGCAGCAGUAGGGAAUAUUGCUCAAUGGGGGAAACCCUGAAGCAGCAACGCCGCGUGGAGGAUGAAGGUUUUCGGAUUGUAAACUCCUUUUGUUAGAGAAGAUAAUGACGGUAUCUAACGAAUAAGCACCGGCCAACUCCGUGCCAGCAGCCGCGGUAAUACGGAGGGUGCAAGCGUUACUCGGAAUCACUGGGCGUAAAGAGCGCGUAGGCGGGAGAGCAAGUCAGAUGUGAAAUCCUAUGGCUUAACCAUAGAACUGCAUUUGCAACUGUUAUUAUAGAGUAUGGGAGG
rnacentral:rRNA from 1 species